GUGCUCCCUUCAGCAGCAUGUACACUAAAAUUGAAGUAUAGAAGAUUAGCGUGGCCCCUGCACAAGGAUGGCGUGCAAGUUCACGCAGCAUUCCAUAUGUAA
rnacentral:snRNA from 1 species